AUCCGUCACCCCUUAUGAUUUUUCAAUAAAUCCAAUAUGUGUAUUAAAUUAUUGUUAAAUUGCGCUAGGAUAAUCUUGAUCUCAGGGUUGUCUUUUAGCGUAUGAAUACACGCGCAGAUGGUCUUCAGACGCUAAGGGUAAAGUAGUCAUUGUCACCACAGCCCAUUAUCUCAUGCCACAUGUUUUUGGGCUUGGUUGUUACUGCGACUACUUCCCUCAUAAGCGUCUCUUGUUGGGUUAGAAGAUUUUUGAAGCUAGGGUGCUGUUACCAUCACUUAGUUCGCGAACACGGCGAGCCCAUCCUGGAUUUAUGAUUUGCAUAUCAAUACUAACUCUUAUCGGUGCAGCGACUUUUGUCAUUUGUGUACCUUUUUGUACCAGAAAUCUAUUUGAACGGAAGUGUGGCUGCCCAGAGGUGCCUUUGUGUCCCGAAUGCGGCAUUCCGUAUUGAUUAGUGCUCCACCAAUCUAAUCCUUCAAGUGUCGUCUUAAAGGCACAAUUAAGCCGACUGGACCGAUUUCGAAAUGCCGGAAAAGUAUUGACAUUUCGUUAAAGUCAUGUGAACAGCUUACCCAACAAUACUUGAGCACGACAUGGAUUUAUAUUGUAUACUCAAGACGGCUGCUGUGAUCUACGGUACAUCUUACUAUGAUUGAAAUGCAUACCUCCUGUUUAACAGCGGGCCUUGCAGAAGUGUCAGCGAUGAUAUUUAACGGCGCUCCAUUCUUGAUGCUCACUGACCGCCUCCUGCUUUGAUCCAA